rnacentral:lncRNA from 1 species
GCUCCAUUCUCGCUGUCAAAACAGUAGGAUUUGAGGGUGAGCUGGGAAUGAGAAUGGCUUGGGGAAGCCCAGGACAACCUGCAACACACGAGGGAGGGUCCAUCCCCGCAGCACUACCAGCUAAGAGAAGGAAAAGAAUACAUUGAGGCAGGUGAGGCUCAGAGAGGCCUCAGGGAAGACAUUCUUCUGCACUUAUGCCUGUAGGAACAAGAUGCUGAUCCAGAGAGCAAGCCUCCAGGUCUUAGAGUGCUGCCCAGUCUGCCUGGAAGCUAUGGUUUCUGAGAGGCAUCAGGUACAUUAAAAAAAAAAAUCACUCUGGGAAAGUCCCCAAAGCCUUCCAACGUGCUCUGUGCUCUGUCCCAGAUGGUCAACCUCCCAAGAGAAAAUGAAGUAGAAAACGACCAAGGAAUAAAGUGACCUCCACACAGUGAUAAACACCAUGACCAAAGGCAACUUGGGAAGGAGAGCACUUAUUUCAGCUUACAGUUGAUAGUUUGUCGUGGAAGAAAGAAAGUCAGCAGAAGUUGAGGUGGUAACUGAAGCAGACCAUGGAGUCUUCCCACUGGCUUGCUCACCAUGGCUUGCCAUCCAGAUGUGUUCGGCCACCUGUAGAAAGGCAGAAUAUAAGUCUGCCCAGUUUCGUACUUUGUCCUUGUAUCCAUAGACACCAGAACACAGGCUGUUGAGUAGGAAGAGCUUUGGCACCAUUAGGACAAAUACUGACUUUGCCACUAAAGGAGCCAGGAAAGCAGGUUUUUGUCUGUGUUAAAGAAUGGGGCUCAAGUCACCACUGUUCUCCUAUGUGUAUCUGAGUUGAUUCUUCAACAAGACUUUGAACG